rnacentral:lncRNA from 10 species
CAAGUAUAGCUGGAAGACAAAGACAGAUUUUGAGAGGUACUUAUUCACCUCUAAUUCCAGGGGAUCCAUAAGGAAAACAGAGAUUUUUUUUUCCCAAAACGGGAUUUGUGGGGCCUUUUCUGUUUUCCCAAGGAGUCCCAGGCCACGAAAAGUUAUUGUAGGGUUCUUUUUAUAUGCACCAAGAGUGGCAAGAUGGAGUGGAGAAAAGUAAUUCAGUUAAUCGGGAAAAAAACCUUUUCCAGGAAAACAAGAUUGAUGAAGAGAAAAAUAUAAAGAGAAGAACAUAAAGUCCUUUUGAAUAUACUCAUAGCUUUGAUCUGCGACUUAUCAGACGUGGAGAAAGGGACAUGAAUGCGAGCAAUGCUUUUAACGCCAGCCACUUCCCGGAGAGGGAGAAUGGCAGAAGAGGCUUCUGAAUGGGCGUCCCCAGACAAAAGACAGAGACCCGGAAUCCUCUUUCUAUAGAGGAUAGUCAAGCUGAGAAGAAAAUUGGGCGCCCUCCAGAUUUCCUCUAGCUUGGUCCUGCUGGUUCUCCGAGGCCCCGGACUGCAGACCUGACUUUUCCCAGGUGGAGUCUUGCUCUCGCCCAGGCUGGAGUGCAGUUGUGCAAUCUCAGCUCACUGCAACCUCCACCUCCCAGGUUCACGCCAUUCUCCUGCCUCAGCCUACCAAGUAGCUGGGACUACAGGCACCCGCCACCACGCCCAGCUAAUUUUUUUGUAUUUUUAGUAGAGACGGGGUUUCACCAUGUUAGCCAGGAUGGUCUCGAUCUCUCGACCUGGUGAUCCGCCUGCCUCAGCUUCCCAAAGUGCUGGGAUUACAGGCGUGAGCCACUAUCCCUGGCCUAUAAUUUUUGUAUUGUGUUUCUGCUCUCUGUUCUUGGCCUCCUUUAAUUCUGUCUUAUUACAUAUGAUACAGUGGUUCACCAAUUAACACAAUAUAUGUCCCCCGUUGUUAUUGCCUUUUUAAAUUUCUCUAUGAACUGUUUUGUAAUUUUUAGUGUGUGGUUUUUUACAUAGUUUUUAGGUUUAUGUUAAAGUGUUCAAUAGUUUUGAUGAUAUUAUAAACAAAAUUAUAUUAAUUUCUAUUUCUAUUCAUUUUUAUUAGUAUAUAGGAAUAAUAUUAAUUUUGGUAUAUUUGUCUUAAUUCUGCGGCCUUGUAAUUUCAAUUUUCAAUUCUAUAGCUUUUUGUAGAUUCAAUCAAAUUUUCUACAUAGCAAAUCAUUUCUGAAAAUAGUUUUACUUCUACCUGUCCAAUUAGUAACAAUUAUUUUACUUCCUUGCUUUAUUGCAUUGGCUAAAACAUGGUGUGCAAUAUGCUAUCAUCUCUGGCCUUCUACUGCCCACAACCACAGCAUCAUGGCAAAUCUUUCUAAAACAUAAAUCAUAUUAUAUGGCUUCUACAUGCUGCAUACUCCAAUGUCUUUCAGUUAUACUUAAAUAAGUAUCUAAUCUUCCUAAGGCCCAGAGACUAUAUGAUGUGGUUCUUAGCUAUAUCUCCAACCCCUUCUAUUACCUCUGUCUACCUGUUUACUGUUUUCUACACAUCUGAUCUCUUUACUAUUGAUGAAACCUACCAAACAUACUCUAGCUACAGGAAAUUUUGCUUGCUGGCUUCAAUAUCUGUCAUUUCCACUCUCAGGGCCCCACUUUAUUCAGGUAGAAUUUUUGUUCUUCUUGAUAAAAGUGAAAUAAUUUCUAAAUUUUCCUGUAAACUUUUAAAGCCCGUAUGUCACCUCCAUGGAAAACUGUUUUAUUGUAAAUCACCCAAAAACUCAAUUAACGUUAUAUUAUAUACCUCAUUUUUCCUUGCCCUGCUUCUCUGAGAAGCCAGAGUUUCUUCUGUAGCCAAUCUCUAUUCUAUUAAUGUGUUCUAAUUUCUUUAUAAAAUGUAUGAGAAAUAUCUUAUUUAAGCAUUUGCUUUUGUGAUUCUUAUCACAUGUACCACUGAUGUUCCAUUUCUAGAAUAUAAUCUGUUUAAAGGCAAGAAUUUAAUCAAUUUGAUUCACUUCUAUAUCACGAGUCUAUAACUUGCCUGAAACGUAUUAGACACUCAAUAUUUGUUGAAUAAUCAACAAAUGCCAUUCAAACCUUUAAUUGAAUGGCCUAUAUCAGCAGUACAAUGUUAUUAAAUAUAAGAUUGUAUAUAAUAUCCUCAACAAAGACUGGAAUCAAUUAUAACACAACAUAUUUUUUAAACUCUAAAAUUAUAGUAUUUUAAAAAGAUAUUUAAAAAAAAUCCCAAGACACUUAAUUGUUUCCAACUUUGUGUUUGAAAGAAAAUCUAGAUACAAAAACUGAUGGCCUAAGUGAAAAAGGAUUUUCAUAAGUUUCAUUAAUGCGUAAUUAGCACUUCGUAUUAAUGAAAAGGCAGAUUUAAAGGAGAAUAAGAAAAUAUAAUGAGGUCAAGAAAAACACAAAGCGCACAUUAUGAUGAUAGAAAAAUAGAGUAGUAAGGAAGCAUAGAUGCUAAAAGAGUUGGAGCAGAGAGCACACUUAAAAAAUUAAAACUGAACAAACAAAAAUGUUUGAAAAUAGAUUAUACUUCCUUCUUCUUCCAACACUGGUGCACAUUUGUGUUUGUUGUGAUAUGACAAUAUCUAUGGGAUGUUAAAUGAUCAUGUUUGUUUCCUAAAAUAUGGUUUCUAUUGUGAAAAUUUAUACUAAUGUAAUUUUUUUCUCUCCCCAUGUCAAAGAAUAAAGAAUAGCAAGUGUCACACAAUGUCAAAAAAUGUUCUAUAACCCCAAAUAGGAAUAAGUGAUAGUCGUGGCAAAUCUCCGGUAGAAUUUCAUCAAUAAUUCAUUCUCAACACACUUCUGGGUGCUGCAGCAGUUUUUAAUAGGCUCUCUAGUGCAUACUCUGUAGUGUGUUUUGGACUAAACCAUUGACACAGAGGAAUAAUGCUGAGGGGGAAACCAGC